GAUGAACGCUGGCGGCGUGCCUAAUACAUGCAAGUCGAGCGAACAGAUGAGGAGCUUGCUCCUCUGACGUUAGCGGCGGACGGGUGAGUAACACGUGGAUAACCUACCUAUAAGACUGGGAUAACUUCGGGAAACCGGAGCUAAUACCGGAUAAUAUAUUGAACCGCAUGGUUCAAUAGUGAAAGACGGUUUUGCUGUCACUUAUAGAUGGAUCCGCGCCGCAUUAGCUAGUAGGUAAGGUAACGGCUUACCAAGGCAACGAUGCGUAGCCGACCUGAGAGGGUGAUCGGCCACACUGGAACUGAGACACGGUCCAGACUCCUACGGGAGGCAGCAGUAGGGAAUCUUCCGCAAAGGGCGAAAGCCUGACGGAGCAACGCCGCGUGAGUGAUGAAGGUCUUCGGAUCGUAAAACUCUGUUAUUAGGGAAGAACAAAUGUGUAAGUAACUAUGCACGUCUUGACGGUACCUAAUCAGAAAGCCACGGCUAACUACGUG
rnacentral:rRNA from 1 species